CCUUGCACUUCAUCGUGGUUCCCAGAUGCAGUGGCAGGGGAGGUGACUGGCAAGCUAGCAGUGGAGGGGCUGCACUGACUCACGUCCCCAGUAUCGUGCUCAAGUGCCAAUCCACCUUCGUGAUACCAAAGCUGCCUUCAAGCCUCAGUAAAUGCCAGUAGAUCUGAUGACCACCACCAUCAAGAAACCAUUCGUGGAGAAUGUAAGUCUGUGGAGCUGUUAGGACAAAACUGUAAAGGUAUCACUGUCCUCAUUAUUUUUAUCAACGGCUAUGGACACUGAGAUGUGGUUGUGCAUUCUGCAUCCCAGUAAAACAGAGGAAGUGGGUUUCCAAAUCUCAUUAGUGUUGCCAAGUCACUUCCGGGAGCUCCGCCAAGCAGCAUUCCCUCCAAGAGGCUUUUCCACUCUGCUGAGGAUUCUCCAGCUUUCCUUGUGAGAAUUCCAUGACUCUUUUGAACACAAUGCUGUUUACCAUAAAUAAACAACACGUUGCUAUAUCCGUGUUUGUAUUUGCUGCACAUUGAAGGGAAAGAAGAGCAUUCAUGAUGAGUCAAACCCUGAGAUCCUUACUCGCAUGUUCAUCAACACUGAGACAGAACAGCUGACUUAACUCCCAUUGGCUACACUAAGAAUUUUGCCUGAAUAAAUGCUGAAUAAGAUCAAA